UGGUCCGUUGGUCAAGGGGUUAAGACACCGCCUUUUCACGGCGGUAACACGGGUUCGAAUCCCGUACGGACUAUC
rnacentral:tRNA from 29 species